GAUGAACGCUGGCGGCGUGCUUAACACAUGCAAGUCGAACGAUGAAGCCCAUCUUGCUGGGUGGAUUAGUGGCAAACGGGUGAGUAACACGUGAGUAACCUGCCCUUAACUCUGGGAUAAGCCUGGGAAACUGGGUCUAAUACCGGAUAAGAGCGCCUACCGCAUGGUGGGUGUUGGAAAGAUUUAUCGGUUUUGGAUGGACUCGCGGCCUAUCAGCUUGUUGGUGAGGGAAUGGCUCACCAAGGCAACGACGGGUAGCCGGCCUGAGAGGGUGACCGGCCACACUGGGACUGACACACGGCCCACACUCCUACGGGAGGCAGCAGUGGGGAAUAUUGCACAAUGGGCGCAAGCCUGAUGCACCGACGCCGCGUGAGGAAUGACGGCCUUCUGGUUGUAAACCUCUUUCAGUACGAAAUAAUCGAAAGUGACGGUACCUGCACAACAAGCACCGGCUAACUACGUGCCAGCAGCCGCGGUAAUACGUAGGGUGCGAGCGUUAUCCGGAAUUAUUGGGCGUAAAGAGCUCGUAGACGGUUUGUCGCGUCUGUCGUGAAAGUCCGGGGUCUUAACCCCGGAUCUGCGGUGGGUACGGGCAGACUAGAGUGCAGUAGGGGAGACUGGAAUUCCUGGUGUAGCGGUGGAAUGCGCAGAUAUCAAGAGGAGCACCGAUGGCGAAGGCAGGUCUCUGGGCUGUAACUGACGCUGAGGAGCGAAAGCAUGGGGAGCGAACAGGAUUAGAUACCCUGGUAGUCCAUGCCGUAAACGUUGGGCACUAGGUGUGGGGACCAUUCCACGGUUUCCGCGCCGCAGCUAACGCAUUAAGUGCCCCGCCUGGGGAGUACGGCCGCAAGGCUAAAACUCAAAGGAAUUGACGGGGGCCCGCACAAGCGGCGGAGCAUGCGGAUUAAUUCGAUGCAACGCGAAGAACCUUACCAAGGCUUGACAUGUUCUCGAUCGCCGUAGAGAUACGGUUUCCCCUUUGGGGCGGGUUCACAGGUGGUGCAUGGUUGUCCUCAGCUCGUGUCGUGAGAUGUUGGGUUAAGUCCCGCAACGAGCGCAACCCUCGUUCCAUGUUGCCAGCACGUAAUGGUGGGGACUCAUGGGAGACUGCCGGGGUCAACUCGGAGGAAGGUGAGGACGACGUCAAAUCAUCAUGCCCCUUAUGUCUUGGGCUUCACGCAUGCUACAAUGGCCGGUACAAUGGGUUGCGAUACUGUGAGGUGGAGCUAAUCCCAAAAAGCCGGUCUCAGUUCGGAUUGGGGUCUGCAACUCGACCCCAUGAAGUCGGAGUCGCUAGUAAUCGCAGAUCAGCAACGCUGCGGUGAAUACGUUCCCGGGCCU
rnacentral:rRNA from 1 species